rnacentral:lncRNA from 1 species
AACAACACAAUUUUCACACGCACAAAUAUUUCAAAAAAAAUCAAAACCCUAGCUGCCGUAGCCUAGAGAUAGUUACACCCUCAUUCCAUUUUUGAAUCCAUGUUAGCCACCGUAUAGUUUUAAUACUUUCAUAACUGAAACAUGCUUUGUUAUUGCUUUUCAUUCUAAUUCCCUUUGCUGAAACAAUUCAAUUCCCUGUCCAUUACUUCGUUAUUGCUUUUCAUUCUAAUUCCCUUUGCAAUUAUAUUAUUAUAUGUUUCUUAUUUAAGUGCUUUACGUUAAUAUUUCAUGUCUUUAUUUCAUAUUGCUACUGUCAUGUGCUAUUCUAAUUCACUUUCUUUGCCGGUUGCUAUUACUACGCAUAUAUUCCAAAACCUUAGUUUUCAUGCAAUUUUCGAUUCAGCCGUACAUACUUAUAUUGAUUUCUCAGUUGCUGCUGCUAUGUUUUGAUUGAUUGCUGAUCCUUUUGUUUCAUUAUUGCUGCGUUUCCAAUUGUUUGAACUCAUAUUGCCGUGGUUUCUUUCUUCUUUUAAAGUUUCCAUUUUCUCACAGAAGUUCUAACACUGUCGUUCCAAUUUUUUCAGUUGCUGGGUAAUUAAUUUGCUGCGUUUGUUUUUCUUUGCUUAAAGUUGUCAUCUCUUAACAGGAAAUUAAGUUGUGAGGACGUGGUUGAAGAGGUAGAAGAAAGAAAACAAGAACCCACACCCCC